rnacentral:rRNA from 1 species
AUACGUAGGGCGCGAGCGUUAUCCGGAAUUACUGGGCGUAAAGAGCUCGUAGGCGGUUUGGCGCGUCGGCUGUGAAAUUCCGGGGCUUAACUCCGGGCGUGCAGGCGAUACGGGCAUGACGUGAGGACGUUGAGGGAGGCUGGAAUUCAUGGGGGAGGGGGGAAAUGGGCAGAUAUCAGGAGGAACACCGGUGGCGAAGGCGGGUCUCUGGGCAGUCACUGACGCUGAGGAGCGAAAGAAUGGGUAGGGAACAGGAUUAGAUACCCUGGUAGUCCAUGCCGUAAACGGUGGGCGCUAGGUGGAGGGGUCUUCCACGACUUCUGUGCCGUAGCUAACGCAUUAAGCGCCCCGCCUGGGGAGUACGGCCGCAAGGCUAAAACUCAAAUGAAUUGACGGGG